CCUACGGGAGGCAGCAGUGAGGAAUAUUGGUCAAUGGACGCAAGUCUGAACCAGCCAUGUCGCGUGCAGGAUGACUGCCCUAUGAGUUGUAAACUGCUUUUGUAAGAGGAUAAAACGAGGCACGUGUGCCUUUUUGCAUGUAUUUUAUGAAUAAGGAUCGGCUAACUCCGUGCCAGCAGCCGCGGUAAUACGGAGGAUCCGAGCGUUAUCCGGAUUUAUUGGGUUUAAAGGGUGCGUAGAUGGUUUGAUAAGUUAGUUGUGAAAGUUUGCGGCUCAACUGUAAAAUUGCCAUUGAUACUGGCCGUCUGGAGAACAGUUGAGGUAGGCGGAAUUCGUGGUGUAGCGGUGAAAUGCUUAGAGAUCACAAAGAACCCCGAUUGCGAAGGCAGCUUACGAAGCUGUGACUGACAUUGAUGCACGAAAGUGUGGGGAGCAAACAGGAUUAGAUACCCGGGUAGUC
rnacentral:rRNA from 1 species